GAUGAAGAACGUAGUGAAAUGCGAUAAGUAAUGUGAAUUGCAGAAUUUAGUGAAUCAUCGAAUCUUUGAACGCAUAUUGCGCCCGCCAGCACUUUGGCGGGCAUGCCUGUUCGAGCGUCAUUUCAACCCUCAGGCCUCGCGUCUGGCGUUGGGGCGCUGCGGCCCUCCCGCAGGCCCCCAAAUUUAGCGGCGGAUUCCCCGCGGCCCUGAGCGCAGUAGAGAGUAAAAACUUUAACGCUCCGGCGGCCGUGGCGCGGUUCUGCCUCUUUCCCAAUAGCGCCAAUAGCGCCACCCCCAAAAAAGUUGACCUCGGAUCAGGUAGGACUACCCGCUGAACUUAAGCAUAUCAAUAAGCGGAGGA
rnacentral:misc_RNA from 1 species